rnacentral:ncRNA from 1 species
GGCUCCGGUGCGACGGGCGGUCUUUCUCCAAAGAACCCGGGAGAGAAAGAACCCCACCAAACCCCACCCCUCCUCCCGCCCGGCAGGCCGUCUCACCCUCUCGGGUGAACAUCGCCAACUCGGCUGGAUUUCGGAGCGGUUGUUACCCCUACGCUCAGCGCAGCACGACACCGCGACCGCACAACAACCGCAGACGUACGACGGCCCUCGCCGGGACUGCAAUCCCAGUGCGAGGGCCUGACCACCAAGGAAGACAAGCCCCUUCCCG